UCACAAUAUUUUUAAUUUAUUUAUAUUCUUAUAACAGUUUAACAGUAAGAUUUACAAAACAAAUACGAAUGUUUUCAAAACUCGCAAUAUUUUUAAAAAUAAAUUGUUUGGGAGGGAUACUGUUUGGGACAAAUGCGUCGAAGGGACCAGGAAUGACGAGCAGAUAUCUGAUGGCGGAGUUCUGCGAACCGGUGUGUUCCGUUAAAGCCUGGCGCGUGGAAGAACAGGAGCAGAAACAUCCUGCUCGUCCACGAUGUUGUCGUCCGCGAGGCCAAUUCCUAUAAAAGGCAUAAGGCCAUUCCGGCUAGAGAUCGAGAGGCGAGGAGACCCGGUCGACGGCAGUUGGCAAGACGUGCUCUCCAGCACGAGAAUCUAGGCACAACAGCCACGCUUUCCCCAGAACCGCGACGUAACACGCAAGAUCUCACAGAGCCAUGACAGCCACACUUUCCCCAGAACCGUGGCGUAACACGCAAGGUCUCACAGAGCCAUGGCAGCCACGCUUUCCCCUGAACCGUGGCGUAACACGCCAGAUCCCAUGUUUUGCCCAUAACGCAGCAGUUGGAGUCCCAUACCGUCUCGAAAAGAGCGGAAGACUGAGAUUCAGAGGAAGCCUAUAAAAAGGUAGCCAACGAAGGUAAAAGGGUUGGCAUUCUUGAGAAAAUUGGAGAAAACCACAAGAAACGCCAUAAGACCUGUGGCAAGCUUUUCCCGAACCUUCAUAUCUGACUUGAGCGUCGGAGGGUUUGUGCCGGGAAAACAACCGGCGUACUCUGACUUAUCUAUGUACGCAGGGACCUCUGGAGAAGAAGCCUGGCGAGGAGACCUCCUGGUCGUGACGAAGUUGAUCGAGCAGAGAUCCUGAUCGUAGAACGAGGAGAACCGGAAUCUCGCAUCAACAUUUUGGCGCCGUCUGUGGGGAUCCAGAGCAAAAAGCUUCUGUCGAUAGCAAGAAGAGGGGUGGAGUAAGCGAAAGGCAAUGGAGAUAGGAGGAAGUAGCGCACAAGGGGGUGACAUAAGGCUUAACGAUUCCGUGACGCUGAGGGAGGUAAUCAGCGAAGCACGGGAAAAAGUCAUGUUCGACCGGAUGGAGCGAAUGGAAAAGCAGAUGGAAACCUUGACAACCAUCCUGCAUGAGCUGCGGAACGAGCGAAGGGUAACCCAAGAGGGAAGGGUGAGAGGCGGUGGAGCGGCACCAGGUACCGAUAGUGCGGAGAGAAGUCAAACCGCUGGGAGAUUUGGUGGUGAGAGAGGUAACGUACCUCUGCGGGGAGAAUUUCAUAGAGAAAGAGAGCAGUCCCCGGUAAGACAGACUUGUGACGGGGGCGACGGGGUGGUGAAUGCAGAGGAAACAGAACUGAGGCAACACUUACAUGAUGUAGAGCGAGAGCGGGAUCAAGCUGCAGCGCGCGACCCUGGUCGCGCAGGACAGCUGGAGGAGGAAGUGCGAAGGCUAGCGCAAAUAAUUGACGACAUGCAAGGGAGGAACAGAGCCCCUGGUUGGAGGAUAAUGCUGGACGGGGAAUCACCGCUCGCAGCAGAGAUCAUGAGGGCAGUUAUUCCGAGAGAUUUCCGCCUCCCCGACCUCAGAUACUCGGGAAGAACUGACCCGCUGGUGCACAUAGAGCGCUUCAACGACAUAACGGGGGUCCAGGGAUUAUCUCCAUCCCAAAGGUGCAGGGUGUUCCCACUAUCCCUUGAGGGACGUGCACGAGAAUGGUACAGGAAACUUCCUCGGGGCAGCAUAAAAACCUUCGAGCAGAUGUGCCAGGAAUUCGCAGAGCAGUUUAGUGGGGCAAUGUCACCGGAAGAUGACAUGAUGGAGCUGAAGAGCAUGAAACAGGGGGAGCAAGAAACCCUUCGGGAAUUCAUCAAGAGGUUUCAUCGGGCUGUCCUCGACUUGGGAGCCUUCAACCACCCUCAGGCGUUAAGGGGACUGAAAGAAGGGAUGAAGAUAGGAAGGCUGUGGUACAAUUUGAGAAGCCCAGCUAUUCAAACGUAUGCAGCCGCAUACGAACAGGCUAAAAGAGACAUCGAGAUUGAGGAGGAGAAGGCUGCACGGAUCAAGACAGACCAGUUGGAAGGCUUAGGGAGGAAAGAGAAGAAAGCAUUACCAACUAAUGGGCCGAUCAGGAGGAGGGACCACCAGAUCUCCGGUAGUGGAGCAGGAGGUAGGGUAAUUGCUUACCAGCCUCAUCAGAGGCCGCCACAGUAUCAGCGCAGCAGGGCGCCACCUCCUCGUUCCCCAGCUAGGGAGCCUUGGAGAAGACAUGAUCCGGCAUCCGGCGAUCUUCAUCAACAUUCCCACGGUAGCAGGACGAGCAGACCAGAAGCACUCCCACCGCCCCCAACUCACAGUGGGGCAAACAGAGAAAGAGCAGUGCAUCUGGUCGACCAGAACCAGGACUAUGGGCGGUACACUCCCUUGAAGAUGCCCCUGGAUGAGGUGUACGAGGCCAUAAAGGGUCGAGGGCUGCUGCACCUCCCUACAUCAAUAACAAAGCUACCCAACAGGAGGGAUAGAGGACGUUAUUGUAAGUUCCAUGGCACCCAUGGCCAUACCACAGCAGAGUGUAGAGAUCUCAAGACCCAGGUCGAAGAUUUGGUGAGAAAUCGGUACCUGGACGAGUUUAUGGAUGGGACUUUCCCGAUGGUGGCCACAACGGAUGAAGGGGAGCAGAGUGAUGGAAUCUUGAGACGCGAGCCGCCCGCAGCGAGGGUGAUAGCUGGGGGCCCAACGUUGGCCGGAGAUUCGAACAGAUCGAGAAAAAAUUAUGCCAGAUACGCCAUGACCAGUAAAGAGAUACUCUUCAACACCCCAGCAGCCAAACGAGCAAGGGUCAGGCAAGUGCCAAUCAUGUGGACGGAUGAGGAUGAGGAAGGGAUUCUAUACCCCACGAGGACGCUUUAGUCAUCAAGGCUACGAUCGCUAGCAAGAAGUUUGACCGGAUACUGGUUGAUACGGGGAGCUCAGUUGAUGUGCUAUUUAAAUCAACUUUGGAAGAGAUGGGAAUAGCCGACCGGAAGUUGGAAUACACCAACACCUCCUUGAAGGGGUUCGGAGGAGGGAAGCUGGUCCCUCUGGGCGUGGUCGAACUGCCUAUCACAAUCGGGAGCCCCCCGACAGAAAGAACAAUGAUACUGGACUUCGUCGUAGUGGACGAGGAAGGUCCUUACCAGAUGAUCCUAGGUCGGCCAUUUUUAAGGAUGAGCAAAGCGGUGCUGUCCAACCAUUAUCUGGCUCUGAAGUACCAGGUGAAUGGGGUAGUCGGAGUGGUACGAGGAGACCAGAGGAUCGCAAGAAGCUGCUACUCCUCGGCAGCAAGGGAGGCGAUGCAGAUAACAUCCCUCGAUACCCGAGUGGAAAACAAGACUGGCAGACAAGAACCCGUAGAGGAUCUGGAAACAGUAAGCAUGGGACCAGAGAACCCGGGAAAGACGAUCAGAAUCGGGUCGAGACUUGAGGGAGAGCAAAAGCAGGAGUUGGUGAAAUGCUUACAGGCUCAUGCCGACGUGUUUGCCUGGACACAUGAGGACAUGCCAGGGAUUGACCCAGAGGUAGCAUGUCAUAGGCUGGCAAUAAAGAAAGGUGCUCGGGCAGUAAGGCAGAAGAGGAGGUGCUUCAACCAGGAGAGGUAUGAGGCUGUAAAUGAUGAGGUGGAGAAGCUUCUGAGAGCAGGGUUCAUUCGGGAAGUCAAUUACCCAGAGUGGAUAUCAAAUGUGGUGUUGGUAAAGAAGGCAAACGGCAAGUGGAGGAUGUGUGUGGAUUUCACAGACCUCAAUAAGGCGUGCCCAAAAGACAGCUUCCCUUUACCAAAGAUCGAUCAGCUAGUAGAUUCAACGGCUGGACAUGGUCUGCUUAGCUUCAUGGACGCAUUCUCGGGAUACAACCAGAUCCCCAUGUACGAGCCGGAUGAGGAGAGCACGGCUUUCAUCACUAACCAAGGUCUGUUCUGUUACAGGGUGAUGCCAUUCGGUCUCAAGAAUGCUGGGGCCACCUAUCAAAGGCUGGUGAAUAAAGUCUUUAAGCCCUUGAUCGGGAAAACCAUGGAGGUGUACGUGGACGACAUGAUCACCAAGUCCAAAAUCCCGAAGGAACAUGUCAGACAUCUCGAGGAGACGUUCGAGCUUUUGAGGAAGUAUAAGAUGAAGCUCAACCCGGAGAAGUGUGCUUUUGGGGUCGAGUCAGGGAAAUUCCUGGGAUUCAUGGUGAGCCAUAGGGGGAUUGAAGCAAAUCCCGAGAAGAUCCAGGCGAUUGUGCAAAUGACGUCUCCUCGAAACCUGAAGGAGAUGCAGAGCCUCACGGGGAGGUUGGCGGCGUUGAGCAGAUUCAUAUCCAAGGCUACAGAUAAGUGUCAGCCAUUCUUUUAAGUGAUAAGGAGGGGAAAGAAAACGGAAUGGACCCCAGAAUGCGAGGAAGCCUUCCGGAACUUGAAGCAUUACUUGCAGCAAGCUCCGCUACUGUCCACACCGAGGGAUGGGGACAAGUUGAAUCUGUAUUUGGCGGUAUCUGAUCGGGCCGCCAGUUCCGUUCUAGUGAGAGAGGAAGAAGGAAUUCAGUAUCCGAUAUACUACACCAGCAAGGCCCUGCUCGACGCUGAGACCAGAUACCCAACGAUCGAGAAAUGGGCACUGGCCCUUGUGGUUGCUGCUCGGAAGUUGAGGCCGUACUUUCAAGCAUUCCCGGUCUCGGUAAUAACCAACCAGCCAUUGCGUCAAAUUCUGCACAAGCCAGAUGCCUCUGGUCGGCUCGUCAAAUGGACUGUAGAGCUGAGCGAAUUCGACAUAGACUAUAAACCCCGCGCGGCGAUAAAGGCCCAGGCAAUGGCCGAUUUCGUAGCUGAGUUCGCGGAGCCCGAAGUAUGCUUGGAUCAGCAAGAUGCAGAUAUAGGCAACGACGAAACUCAAGUAUGGCAGAUAUCUGUGGAUGGGUCAUCAGGAGAGCGGGGUUCAGGAGUAGGGAUUGUCCUGGAAGGCCCAGAGGGGGAGGAGAUCUCUUAUGCUGUAAAGUUGGAAUUUGCAGCCACAAAUAACCAGGCAGAAUAUGAAGCCUUGAUAGCAGGGCUGGAAUUGGCUAGGGCCGUGAAAGCGGACAGAGUUAAGAUCAGAACCGAUUCCCAGCUGGUUGCGAAUCAUGUCAGUGAAAGAUUCCAACCAAGAGAGGAGAAGAUGGAACAGUACCUAAGGAUAGUCAGGCAGAUGAUGGGGAAGUUCGAAGCAGUGGAGGUGAUACAAAUCCCCAGGGAGCAGAAUAGUCGAGCAGACAUUUUGGCUAGGAUGGCAGCCGUAGCCGACCCAAAAAUGCCGAAGUCGGUCCCCCUAGAAGUGAAGUCUCGCCCGAGUAUCGAGCAAAAUUUGGGGGUGUUGCGGAUAGAACAAAAAAGCUCGUGGAGGGACCCGAUAGUUUCAUACCUUAGAGACGGGGUCUUACCGCCAGAUAAGCUACGGGCUCGGAAGAUUAGAGCUCAGGCCUCGAGAUACACGAUGAUCGAUGGGGUACUGUAUCGGCGAGGAUAUACAUUACCGUUCCUUCGGUGUUUGGACGAUGACGACGCGGAUUACGUGCUGAGGGAAGUACAUGAAGGAAUUUGCGGAAAUCAUUCUGGCGGGAGGUCCCUGGCCCACAAGGUUCUAAGGCAGGGAUAUUUCUGGCCGACGAUGCACCAGGAUGCGCAAAGGAAGACCAGGAGCUGUGCAAGCUGCCAGAGUUUUGCAAAUUUCUCCAACCAACCACCAGAGAAGCUCACCUCCAUGGCCUCCCCUUGGCCAUUCGCUCAAUGGGGAAUUGAUCUGAUCGGCCCAUUGCCAAAGGGACGAGGAGCAGCAACACAUGCAAUAGUCGCUAUAGAUUACUUCACGAAGUGGAUAGAGGUAGAAGCCCUUAGCAGGAUCACAGAGAAGAAAACAACAGACUUCGUGUGGAGAAACCUGGUCUAUCGAUACGGGAUCCCAUAUGCCUUGGUAACGGAUAAUGGCAGGCAGUUCGAUAAUCACAGCUUCAGGGAUUUCUGCCAGAACCUCGGGAUAGAGCUGAAGUAUUGCUCGCCUGCUCACCCUCAAUCGAAUGGACAAGUAGAAGCAGCCAACAAGACAGUCAAGAGGCUUCUGAAAACCAGGCUCGGAGCAAAAAAGGGUGCGUGGGUUGACGAGCUGUCAGGUGUGCUAUGGGCAUACAGAACAACCCACAAAACCGCAACGGGGGAGACACCGUUCGCUUUGGCUUUCGGACAUGAAGCGGUCGUGCCGGCUGAGGUAGGAACGACCAUACACCGGACAGAUCAUUUCAAUGAACAGGAGAACGACGAGCAGAUAUGUUUGAAUCUUGAUCUGCUAAUGGAGAGGAGGGAACAAGCAGCCGAGCGAUCAGUCACUUACCAACAGAGGGUUGCUCGGUAUUAUAACCAGAAGGUGAACAUACGGCAAUUCAGGGUCGGAGACUGGGUACUGAGAAGAGUGAAUCAGAGCACCAAAGAUUCGACUCAAGGAGUGCUGGGACCGAAUUGGGAAGGGCCGUAUAGAGUCAAGCAGAUAGCGGGGCCCGGAGCUUACAAGCUGGUUCGCGCGGACGGCCACGAAGUGAAACGCCCAUGGAACGCAGCACACCUCCGAAAAUACUUCCAGUAAGACUUGCUCACAUUUUAAAGCAAUUUCUGCUCAUGCUGUUUAUCUUUUAUUUUUAUGUUUUAUGUCCGAACAAUUUCAUGUAAGUCAAAUCCUGCCAUUAAUGUAACGUCGACGAAUUUUAUUCGCUUGAAACCGAAAAAAAUCCUAAGGCAUGCAAAGGCUCGUCAAGUGUCAGAGCCUGUCUUAUGGCGAGACAGAAGCCAAGCAUGCCAGGAUCUGCUCGGCCACGAGAAGGCAGCAGAAUCCGAAUCGUUUGAAGAAAAUACUAAGGCAUGCAAAGGCUCGUCAAGUCUCAGAGCCUGUCUUAUGGCGAGACAGAAGCCAAGCAUGCCAGGAUCUGCUCGGCCACGAGAAGGCAGCAGAAUCCAAAUCGUUUGAAGAAGAUUCCCAAGGCAUGCAAAGGCUCGACAAAGUCUCAGAGCCUGUCUUAUGGCGAGACAGAAGCCAAGCAUGCCAGGAUCUGCUCGGCCACGAGAAGGCAGCAGAAUCCAAAUCGUUUGAAGAAAAUCCUAAGGCAUGCAAAGGCUCGCCAAGUCUCAGAGCCUGUCUUAUGGCGAGACAGAAGCCAAGCAUGCCAGGAUCUGCUCGGCCACGAGAAGGCAGCAGAAUCCGAAUCGUUUGAAGAAAAUCCUAAGGCAUGCAAAGGCUCGCCAAGUCUCAGAGCCUGUCUUAUGGCGAGACAGAAGCCAAGCAUGCCAGGAUCUGCUCGGCCACGAGGAGGCAGCAGAAUCCAAAUCGUUUGAAAAAAAUACUAAGGCAUGCAAAGGCUCGUCAAGUCUCAGAGCCUGUCUUAUGGCGAGACAGAAGCCAAGCAUGCCAGGAUCUGCUCGGCCACGAGAAGGCAGCAGAAUCCAAAUCGUUUGAAGAAGAUUCCCAAGGCAUGCAAAGGCUCGACAAAGUCUCAAAGCCUGUCUUAGGGCCAGACAAAAGCCCAGCAUGCCAGGAUCUGCUCGUUCGCGAGAAGGCGAGCAGACUCCAAGGCAUUCGGAAAGUUUUCUACGGCACGCAAAGGCCUCACCAAGUCUCAAAGCCUGUCUUACGGCGAGACAGAAGCGAUCAGCGUUUCAGACGAAAAUUAAUUCAUGAGUACGACACGAGAUAGUAAUCAACAACAUUUUUAUUAAUGGCUAACAGAGGGGAUAAAUUUCAUAAACGUUGUUCAUUACAAUACAAGAAGAAAUAUAUCAAAAAGAUGGUGGAUCAGUGAGCCGAGCAGCAUCGGUUGGCUGGACCUCCUCGGGUGCAGGGGGGGUAUCACCAGUUGCGUCCGGGGGGGUGCUCGCCUCGCCAACAUCAGCAGGGACUGCACGAGGAGGAGAGUUACCCUCCUCAAUCACGAUCGGCUCUAACCCCUCGGCAUCUUCCUUGGCCGCCUCCUCGUCCAUAUGCUGAGCAACACCAGCUGCAAGGUCAUCCAUCUUCAGAUCAGGGUGUCGCUUCCCGAGGACAGCCAUGAUGCAACGGUAGGAAUGCCGAAGUCCCUGGUCGUACUGGUUGUCGACUUCUCUCUCUAAGUUCUUGACUUCCCUCUCCAAGUUCUCGACCUGGGCUCGGUGGGAGUCGCGGAGAGAUUCGAGCUGAGCCGCGUACAUAGCCAUCUGCCUUUGCAGAUCCUCCUUGACCUUGGUAAGCUCCUCCUCGAGGGUAAUGGCUUUUGCUUGAGCAAGUGAUUCUUGCUCUAUCAGCUUCAGGUUCUCGAGGUUCAGCUCCCCUGCUUUCUUCUCGGCAACGUCAGCUCUGGUCGUCGCCGAUUGAAUAUCUUCCUUCAUCUUCCGGUCGUAGCGGCCCACCUUAGCCUUGUAAUAGGUGGUCAUGCAGCUGAGGUGGAAGGUGCUAUGCUGCAUGGCCCCCACCAGCUCACCCAAGGUGUGGCCAUCAAAAUCCUCCAGCUCCUUCUUGCUCACGAGUUUGGUUAACUCAUUGAGGUAAGGGACCAGAUGUUCUGCUCGGCUGUCGGGUAAGCGAGAUCGAGGCCCGACAGGAAGAGAAGAGGUAGCAGGACCUGUGGCUGCUCCACUGGCUUCCCCAACUUUUUCAGGGGCUGGAGGUAAAAUCUUCAAGGGUGGGGCCUGCUGCACGACGUUGGCCCGCUUUGCAGUAGGGGCAUCCUUACUCUGGUCCCCCUUCGUGGUUGGAGGUCGAGAACGUUUUCGGGUCAGGGCCCCAAUCACAGCGUCCUCCAUCCUAUGGCCAGGAAGUAUCAAGCGAGACUCGAGCAAGUUGUAUGUGCUUAACAGUUCUCGGCUCGAGCAAGAAUUGGCCCGUACCGCCUCGACCCGUUUAAGCUGGUCAGGUUUGAGCGGGAAGUGGACACCCCAAGAAACUACAACACAAACAGACACUUGGUUAGAGACAAGCCAAUAAAACAAGGACAAUUAUGGAUACAAGACAUCUGAAGCGAGCAGGCAACCUGGGACCGUGAAACGGGGCGGGACCCGGUAAUCCUUCCCGUCCAUUUGUGCGACCUGACCCCAAGGACCCCCAGCAAAAAAGAACUUUCUCUUCCAAUUCCCACCACCACCAGUAGGGAGGUCGGUUAUGGGUUUCCUGGUCUCGGUGCUAGAUUGGAAGUAGUACCAACCGGCAUCUUUGGGGCUGCUCUUUAGCUGGUACAGGUGCUUCACCUCAUCAAUUGUGGGCUCGCUUUGACAACAUCUGUCCCACAAUAUGAACAGACCAGAGAGCACUCUCCAACCAUUUGGGUUCAGCUGACCAGGAGAUAGAUUUAGCCCGCUAAGUACCCGGGCAAAGUAAGGUUGCAAGGGACAUCUCAGCCCGUACUUAAAGCUAUCCAGGUACAGGGUAACAUAUCCCCUAGGAGGCCGGCUAGGAGCAUCCUUCUUUCCUGGGACCUUGAGAAGUAUUUCACCAGGAAUGCUAUACCUCAGCCGGAGGUCCUCGAGCUCAUCAAACGUGGUCGUGCACGUCAUGUAAUCAAUAGCGUAGUCCCGCGAUAGGGCUCUACCUCCUAUUCUACUCCUCCCUUCUGGUCGCGGCGCUCCUGAUGGGGACGCCUCACCAGAAUCAUCCCCUUGACCCUCACUCAAGGUGUUCUCCGAUCCAGAAGAUCCUUCUUCAUCGCUACUGUCGCUCGAGGAGGUUGUUUGGGGAGACAUCCUCCUAGCGCUAGUACCAACACUAGACCUAAUGGGCUCUAAGGGGAUCCCGGGAUCAAAAGCGGGAUCAGCGAGCAGACUAGGUGGGAAGUCCAACUCGUCGUCGUCAACCUCAAUGACCUUCUCUUUGCCCUUCGACAUUCCCUAAACUCUACCACAACGCCACCAACUACUACCCAAACGAAAGAAAAAAGAAGUUAUCUAUAAACUAUCCGAGACCGAGGAGAGAGAAGUAAUACCUGAAGUACUGCUCCAAUCGGAGAAAGGCAAGGAUGGGGGCUUCGUGCCGGAACUUCUUUGCUGGAGAAACAGAGACGUAGACGGAGACAGAGUGAAUGGUGAAUAUGCCGUUCGAGAGGAUUUGGCUUUCCAAAUAAGGACGGACUCUUGGGUUGCCAGCAUAUAACUGCGCCGAACCCCGAGGAUCUCGUAACCGUCGGUUUGAAAUUCAAAUGGAGGGGGGGAUUUCUGCCACGUCACCUCGUCCGCAAUUAAAUGCGACAUGACUCCUGGCAGCCUUUUCCAAACCCACGCGAGUGAGUACUAUCGAGUUUCUACUGCUGGUCCACUACAUUACCCAACACCAGAAACUGGGGGACCGGUGUUUGGGAGGGAUACUGUUUGGGACAAAUGCGUCGAAGGGACCAGGAAUGACGAGCAGAUAUCUGAUGGCGGAGUUCUGCGAACCGGUGUGUUCCGUUAAAGCCUGGCGCGUGGAAGAACAGGAGCAGAAACAUCCUGCUCGUCCACGAUGUUGUCGUCCGCGAGGCCAAUUCCUAUAAAAGGCAUAAGGCCAUUCCGGCUAGAGAUCGAGAGGCGAGGAGACCCGGUCGACGGCAGUUGGCAAGACGUGCUCUCCAGCACGAGAAUCUAAGCACAACAGCCACGCUUUCCCCAGAACCGCGACGUAACACGCAAGAUCUCACAGAGCCAUGACAGCCACACUUUCCCCAGAACCGUGGCGUAACACGCAAGGUCUCACAGAGCCAUGGCAGCCACGCUUUCCCCUGAACCGUGGCGUAACACGCCAGAUCCCAUGUUUUGCCCAUAACGCAGCAGUUGGAGUCCCAUACCGUCUCGAAAAGAGCGGAAGACUGAGAUUCAAAGGAAGCCUAUAAAAAGGUAGCCAACGAAGGUAAAAGGGUUGGCAUUCUUGAGAAAAUGGGAGAAAACCACAAGAAACGCCAUAAGACCUGUGGCAAGCUUUUCCCGAACCUUCAUAUCUGACUUGAGCGUCGGAGGGUUUGCGCCGGGAAAACAACCGGCGUACUCUGACUUAUCUGUGUACGCAGGGACCUCUGGAGAAGAAGCCUGGCGAGGAGACCUCCUGGUCGUGACGAAGUUGAUCGAGCAGAGAUCCUGAUCGUAGAACGAGGAGAACCGGAAUCUCGCAUCAACAUAAAUUUUACCAAAAAUUUAAUCGAUUCUAUUCACAAGUGAUUAUUUUUACAACGUAACUAACAACAAUACUUUUGAAAACUAAGCAUAACUAAACGGGCCCUUAAUACGCUUUCUACUCUCCAUUUUCUGAAGAGCAGUAGAGCACUUUCAAAAGCAGACUUUCCAGUGGUCUCACCGAAAGCGAGACUCAAACUUUGUGGGACUCUCUGGCAACGCGCCAACUGCUGAGUCAAUGGCAAUUGCCGCCUGACGGAGCUUUUAAAAGCAGCGGGUGCGUGCCAAAUCCAAGAAAGAAAAGAUAUAAGAAUUAGUUUUUAUUUUUAAUUAUUUUUUAUAUUUUAAAUAGCUGCAAUUUUAAAAGUAUAUCAGUUCAAUUGAAAAGUGUGGGAUUGAUGAAAUAAAUUAGGGGUUCAAAAUAUCACUAUCCUACUGGUAUUAUUAAUUAGUUGAACAUUUUAUUUGAUGUAUUUAAAUUUGAUUUUCAUUAGAAUUUUUUAAGAUUCUCUACAAUUUUAACUAUCUGCUUCCAUGAAUUGAAGUUCGUAAAACUUAUUUUAUAAACUAGAGAAAACAGAAAGAAUAGAAAAUCAUAUAUAGUGUUUUGUUAAUACUCACCUCAAAGAGCUUCCUACCAACCAUUGUUAUUUAUACAAGAUGAUAAUUCAAA
rnacentral:lncRNA from 1 species